GUGAUGUUACUCUGAGUGCAUAUCCACACCGGGCGAGCUUGAAAAAUAUGCCCGGCCACGGUGGGAUUCGAACCUACGACCUUUGGAAUACUAGCUCAAUGCUCUUCCAACUGAGCUACGCGGUCAGGACGGUUCGAGUAAGUGAUAUUUCGGAACAAUAUCUAGUUCCUUCAAUACCAAUGUGUUCUUGUAAUAUGAAUUUUUUUUUUUUUUUCUGUGCUGGUGUUGUGUACUCAGGUGAAUAAUAAUAUGUU